rnacentral:lncRNA from 1 species
GAGAUGACAUCAUAAUAGGGGCUGCACAAGGAGGAAGUCCAGUCAAGUGCCCCUGAGGGAGGGCGUGAUCAAGACUAGAGUGGGUGACAAGAAGGCUAGGGUGCUCCUUCAGGCAGCUCAACAACAGAACAAGCCCAGAGAAUCUCAAAGACUGGAGGCUUCCUCACUACUUGGCCCUUGGGUACCCCAGAGGAUGAGUGUCUCCUUUACCCUUCACUGGAAUUGUGGCGUCUUCUUGGCGUUUCUCCCACUGGAUCUAGUUCCAUGUCUGGCGGUGGACGACGUGAAGUGGAGUGUCGGCUGAGGUGACACGAGCCCCCGCAGACGACACGUUGAGUAACACAAAUCAAAUCCAGAAGUACAGUCAUUGAAAUAAAGGCCAUGUAUUAGAAGUCCACAGCUAACAUCGUAUUCAUGGUGAAAGACUGAGAGCUUUUCCUCUAGGAUCAGGAACAAGGCAAGUAUGCCCUUGCUCUCCACUUCUAUUCAACGUAGUAGUGGAAGCCCUAGCCAGAGCAAUUAGGCAAGGAAAAUAAAUGAGAGCCAUCCAAAUAAGAAAGGAAGAAGUAAAAUUGUCCCUGUUUGCUGAUGACGUGAUCUUAUAUUUAGAAAAUCCUAAAGACGCCACAAGGAAACUGUUAGAAUAAUAAACUAAUUCAGUAAAAUUGCAGGAUGCAAAAUUCAG